rnacentral:lncRNA from 1 species
CGGCUAUUGCAUACCACUGCCCCUGGGUCUGCUGAGAUUCUGAGUCCCAGGAGGCAGCUGACUGAACUGCCUGAAUGUCACUCUUAUUAACUGAAAAAUGGGGACCCCCAUCUCCUGACACCCAAGAGAACAGAUGUCAGAGGUCUCUUCCCCACCAGGUUCACCAACCAGUUUCUGCUGACACACCAGAACACAAUGGCAGUUGUUUCCUUAUCUUCUCGCUGGCCGCCAUAUUGUCUGCACGGCUGAUCGUCUUCCAGUUUAUCUACUUUACAAACCCAAGCUGCACCCCCGGGACCCUGCCUGUCUUGCUGCAAUGCCCAAGAACAUUGCUCCUCGGGUCGGCUCUGGAAUCUGCACUAGAGCAUUUGGCUGGUUCAUGAAGUGGAGUGAACACUGAUGGGGACGUUAUCAAUGUAGAAGGCUUCACCUGCCCCUCAGUUACUGUCUUUCAGAGGAAAAAACCUAGCUCCAUCAAUUGCUUUGCUAUCCCUUACCCAAAUUAUCUGCACGGUUUUGUUUCCUUUAUUUAUUUAUUUUUCAUUUAGUAGGUCACCUAAUGUUUAAUCACCUUUUACAUUUAUGAGGCUGUAACAAGUCCUGCGCUGGACAUUCUACUUGGGAAACCUGGGAAGAUGCAAAGAAAGGAAGAAGUCCCGCUGCAGAAGAGAGGAAAGGAGCCGAGGGAAGCCACAGCAGGUGCACACACACGUACACGCCUGCACACCACGGGGACAGCCAGCUAGCCCUUGUGAGCCGAUGCACCAUCCACCAGGCCCGAGGUUUCAGAUCACAGACAAGCCCAAGGCUCUGAACAGAUACAGCCGAGAGGAUGUGGCUCCACGGCGCAUGGUGGCCAGGUAUCCACAUUAGACCGGUAACCACUCAGCACAGGACUACGCUGGUGUAAUCAGGAGGAUUCAUUCAGGUU